AUUGAACGCUGGCGGCAGGCCUAACACAUGCAAGUCGAACGAGUGGCGGACGGGUGAGUAAUGUCUGGGAAACUGCCCGAUGGAGGGGGAUAACUACUGGAAACGGUAGCUAAUACCGCAUACCAUCGGAUGUGCCAAGAUGGGAUUAGCUAGUAGGUGGGGUAACGGCUCACCUAGGCGACGAUCCCUAGCUGGUCUGAGAGGAUGCCCAGCCAACCUGGAACUGAGACACGGCCCAGACUCCUACGGGAGGCAGCAGUGGGGAAUAUUGCACAAUGGGCGAAAGCCUGAUGCAGCCAUGCCGCGUGUAUGAAGAAGGCCUUCGGGUUGUAAAGUAAUUUUGGCGGGGAGGCGGUACUCGCAGAAGAAGCACCGGCUAACUCCGUGCCAGCAGCCGCGGUAAUAC
rnacentral:rRNA from 1 species